GUGAGGAAUUUUGCGCAAUGGGGGCAACCCUGACGCAGCGACGCCGCGUGGAGGACGAAGUCUUUCGGGAUGUAAACUCCUGUCAGUGGGGACGAUAAUGACGGUACCCACAGAGGAAGCACCGGCUAACUCCGUGCCAGCAGCCGCGGUAAGACGGAGGGUGCAAGCGUUGUUCGGAAUUACUGGGCGUAAAGCGUAUGUAGGCGGCAAGUUAAGUUCAAUGUUAAAGCCCACGGCUCAACCGAGGAGAUGCAUUGAAUACUGGCUAGCUAGAGGGUGUUAGAGGAAGACGGAAUUCCCAGUGUAGCGGUGAAAUGCGUAGAUAUUGGGAGGAACACCAGUGGCGAAGGCGACGAUCUGGGCCUGAACUGACGCUGAGGAGCGAAAGCUAGGGGAGCAAACGGGAUUAGAUACCCUGGUAGUCC
rnacentral:rRNA from 1 species